rnacentral:lncRNA from 1 species
AGCAUCCGUAUUAUUCUCUCUACAUAGUAUACUUUUGUGCUCACUGUAAUAAAUCAUGAUUUUUAAUUUUAUAUCAAUAUGAAAAAAUUAUUUAGAAUAUUAAACAAUAUGUUAAGAUGGUACUUACUCAAUAAAAUCUUCAAUUUCUUUAUAAUUAUUUAGAACGUAAAAGUAUGCCUUGGAUAGCUCAUUCACAUCC